CAUGAAGCUGGAUUCGCUAGUAAUCGCGCAUCAGCCACGGCGCGGUGGAUACGUUCCCGGGCCUUGUACACACCGCCCGUCAAGCCAUGGAAGCCGGGGGUGCCUGAAGUGCGCUGCCGCGAGGAGCGCCCUAGGGUAAAACCGGUGACUGGGGCUAAGUCGUAACAAGGUAAC
rnacentral:rRNA from 1 species